CCUACGGGAGGCAGCAGUGAGGAAUAUUGGUCAAUGGUCGGGAGACUGAACCAGCCAAGCCGCGUGAGGGAGGAAGGUACAGAGUAUCGUAAACCUCUUUUGUCAGGGAACAAAGGCGGGGACGUGUCCCCGGAUGAGUGUACCCGAAGAAAAAGCAUCGGCUAACUCCGUGCCAGCAGCCGCGGUAAUAGGGAGGAUGCGAGCGUUAUCCGGAUUUAUUGGGUUUAAAGGGUGCGCGGGCGGUCUGUUAAGUCAGCGGGAAAAGCCCGGGGCUCAACCCCGGCCCGCCGUUGAAACUGGCAGUCUCGAGUUGGAGAGAAGUAUGCGGAAUGCGCGGUGUAGCGGUGAAAUGCAUAGAUAUCGCGCAGAACUCCGAUUGCGAAGGCAGCAUGCCGGCUCCAAACUGACGCUGAGGCACGAAAGCGUGGGUAUCGAACAGGAUUAGAUACCCGGGUAGUC
rnacentral:rRNA from 1 species